rnacentral:rRNA from 1 species
AGGGUUCGAUUCUGGCUCAGGAUGAACGCUGGCGGCGUGCCUAACACAUGCAAGUCGAACGGACCUUGGAUGGAAUGAGACUCGGUGAAGGAAACCCAAGGUUAGUGGCGGACGGGUGAGUAACGCGUGGAGAACCUGCCCUGUACAGGGGGAUAACAGUUAGAAAUGACUGCUAAUACCGCAUAAGCGCACACUACCGCAUGGUAGAGUGUGAAAAACUCCGGUGGUACAGGAUGGCUCCGCGUUGGAUUAGCCAGUUGGCGGGGUAACGGCCCACCAAAGCGACGAUCCAUAGCCGGCCUGAGAGGGUGAACGGCCACAUUGGGACUGAGACACGGCCCAGACUCCUACGGGAGGCAGCAGUGGGGAAUAUUGCACAAUGGGGGGAACCCUGAUGCAGCGACGCCGCGUGAAGGAAGAAGUAUCUCGGUAUGUAAACUUCUAUCAGCAGGGAAGAAAAUGGCGGUACCUGACUAAGAAGCCCCGGCUAACUACGUGCCAGCCGCCGC